UCCCAAUCAGGUUCUGGAGGGAAACACCUUCCCACCUCAUCAGAGAGUCCACAAGAGAAGAACCUCUUCAGUUGUUCUACUUCCUGAGACUCAGAGUUCUACUACCUGAAGGUAACAACCUCCUCAGAGAACUCUGGAACCUCCCACGAGGCCCUUUACAGAACCCCAAAUCCUCAUGAGGCUCCUCAUUAACCUCUGGAACCUCUUCAAUGAUCUCUGGGAUCCUCAGGUACCUCAGGAAUAUCUUGUUGGGCCUCCAGAACCUUCUGUACGACUGCUGGAACCUCCUCAAAAACCCCCCAUUCAAACACCUGAUGAGUGUUCACAAACACAAACCAAAGAAAACAUCCACAAAAAGAACCUUGAACAGUCUUCAGGAACCCCCUCGAGCACCUUCCAGUGAUUCCUCUUAAUGACAGAUCCCUAGAACCUCCUCGAAGACCACUUCUUUCUCCUCGUGGAUCCUCAGAAGGCCCUUCACAGACACUGAGGAGUCCCUGAAAAAAUCAUCUGGAACCUCAUCAAGAAUCUUUGCAUCCUCUGAAAACUCCAGACUCCUCUUUAAGAGCCCCUAAACCUCCUAAAGAACCCAGAGAACAUCUUGUAGAAGCUUCAAAGCAUCCUUCAAGAUUCUUUACAACCACUGGAACACCCUUCGUAGACUCCUUGAACCUCUCUCUCUCGAGGCCCUCAUGCACCCCAGACUCCUCCUGAAACUCUCUAAAUGAAAUUUUGGGCCCUUUCAAGAAUCUCUGGAGAACUCUUCUUCCUGAGGCCCUAAAAUCUCCCUAAAGAACCCAAGGAACAUCUUGUAGAACCAUCAAAACAUCCU